AUUAUUGGUAUUCAAUGAGGAAUUCCUAGUAAGAGUGACUCAUCAUCUCGUGUUGACUACGUCCAUGCCCUAUGCACAUACCACCCAUCGCUCCUACCGAAUGACUGAUAUGGUGAAAUGUUUGGAUCGUGGAGACAUAGGUGGUUUGCUGCCCACAACGUCGCAAGAAGUCCAUUAAACCUUAUUAUUUAGAGGAAUAGAAGUCCUAACAAGGUUUCUGUAGGUAAACCUACGGAAGGAUCAUUGUUGAAACCUGCAUAGCAGAAUGACCUGUGAAUAUGUUUACUAACUGGGGAGUCUGUGUGGGUGGGGUUCUUCAGCCUUCUGCACGAGCACCUCACCCUUGUCCCCAGUGCGCGUGCCCAGUAUGCACGUCGGGUGACCAAUAAACCUCAGUGCGGAAAGCACUAAGAAAUACAUACAUUAAUAGUUUGCCCCUCGCUCCAUAUCUACGGAGUGCUUCAGGGGGACCUAUGCUUCAUUUGUAAAUGAAAAGAAAUCACAGCAACGGAUAUCUCAGCUCUCAUAUCAACGAAGAAUAUAGCAAAAUAUAAUACUUGGUGUGAAUUGCAGAAUCCCGUGAACCAUAGAGUCUUUGAACGCAAGUUGUGCCAGAAGCCAUUAGGCCGAGGGCAUGUCUGCCUGGGCAUCACGCAUAGUGUUUCCCCCCUCACAUCGUGCCUCAAUCAAGGGGUGUACUACUCCACGGGGCGAAUACUGGCCUCCUAUGUUCGUUGAGCUCGCAGCUAGACUAAAUAUGAGUCUACAUCGAUGGACGUCACAGCAAGAGAUGGUUAGGAAGUCUGGAGACGUCGGCGGGAACCUGGAGAAUAGUUAUCCUUUCUGUUUAGCAGCCUGCACACCCUGGAAUUGGCUCAGCUAGAGGUAGGGUCCAGCAGCUUAAAGAUCACCGCACGUCGCGUGGUAUCUGGUGUACUCCCGGUGGCCCUUGAAAAUUUGGAGGACCGAGUGUCGUCUAUGCCUGGUCGUACUCAUAACUGCAUUAGGUCUCCAAGGUGAACAAUCUCUGGUCAAUGGAAUAAUGUAUGCAAGGGAAUUCAGUAAAAUUAACCCGUAACUUCGGGAAAAGGAUUGGCUCUGAGAGCUGGGUAUGGGGGUCCCAGUCUCAAACCUGUAUGUUAUUGGUGGACUGCUCGAGCUGCUCCCGUGAUGAGAGCGGGUUGCUGUGGGCUGGUCGGGUAACGGAAUAGCAAUGGUUCCUUCAGGGGCCUUCCCCGCGUAUCGAACAGAUAACUCAAAACUAGUACAAAUAAGAGGAAUCCGACUUUUUAAUUAAAACAAAUCAUUGUGAUAGUCCUAACGGAUGUUCACGCAAUAUGAUUUAUACCUAAUUCUCUGAAUGUCAAAGUAAAGAAAUUCAACCAAGCGCGGGUAAAUAGCGGGAGUAACUAUGACUCUCUUAAGGUAGCCAAAUGCCUUAUCAUCUAAUUAGUGACACGCAUGAUUGGAAUAAUGAGAUUCCCACUGUCCCUGUCUACUAUCCAGAAAAACCACAGCCAAGGGAACGGGCUUCACAGAAUCUACAUGGAAAGAAGACCCUGUAGAAUUUGACUCUAGUCCAACUUUGUGAAAUAAAUUGAGAGAUGUAGUAUAAAUGGGAGCCGAAAGGCCAAAGUGAAAUACCACUACUUUUAAUGUUAUUUUACUUAUUUUGCGAAUCGAAAGCGGAGCACUGCCCCUCUUUUUAGACCCAAGGUGUGCUCUGUGGGCUGAUCCUGGUUAAAGACAUUGUCAUGUGGGAAGUAUGGCUGGGAUGGCACAUUUGUUAAAAGAAAAUCCAGGUGUCCUAAGAUGAGCUCAAUGAGAAUAGAAAUCUCGUGUGGAAUAAAAGGGUAAAAGCUUUUUCGAUUUUGAUUUCCAGUACGAAUACGAACCAUAAAAGUGUGGCCUAACGAUUCUUUAGACCUUUGGAAUUCGAUGCUAGAGGUGUCAGAAAAUUUACCAUAGGGAUAACUGGUUUGUGGCAGCCAAGAAUUUAUAGCGACGUUGCUUUUUGAUCCUUCGAUGUUGGCUCUUCCUAUCAUUGAGAGGCAGAAUUCACCAAGUGUUGGAUUUUUCACCCACUAAUAGGGAAUAUGAGAUGGGGUUAGACCGUUGUGAGACUGGUUAGUUUUACCCUACUGAUGACAGUAUUCCAAUAGUAAUUCUACCUAGUACGAGAGGAACUGUUGAUUCACAUAAUUGGUCAUCGUGCUUGGUUGAAAAUCCAGUGGCGCGAAGCUACCAUAUACUGGAUUAUGACUGAAUGCCUCUAAGUAAGAAUUCAAGCAACAAGCAAUGCAUGCGCCCACCGUCCGCUUGCCAACCCACAGUAGGGGCCUCAUCCCCUAAGGGCACGUGUCGUUGGCUAUACCAUCACGAUGGAAGGGCCACUGUGGCCACCUUGAAGUACAAUUUCAAUCUAACGCUGGGUAGAAUUCUUUGUAGAUGACUUAGAUAUGCAAUGGGGUAUUGUAAGUGGCAGAGUGGCCUUGCUGCGAUGAUCUACUGAGAUUCAUCCCUUCCCCUCUAAUCCAAUCAUUUUUUCGUC
rnacentral:rRNA from 1 species